CCUGCACAAGGGCAAGGGAGACAAGGUGGAAAGGUCAAGCACAAGACAGCAGUGUUGGGAAAGGGCACGAGGAGGAAGGCUUUCCCAGCUCAGCACGAAAUGGAGACCAAGAAGACCUAGGGGGGUCGGGCUCAUGGGAGUCCACCUGAGCCCCUCACUCAGGGCUUGGCCCUGCUGACCUCAGCAGUGGGAACCUGGUCCCCUGCCUGUCAAGGGCCACCCGAUGCACCAUCCACAGGGCAGGAAAUGAGUUCGGUAAUCAGGCCACCUUCUUAGGUCGGCCGGCACACUGGAUCCAGGAGAGACACCCCCCUCACGUGGUCACAGGGCAAAGGCGUGGAGGUCCCAAUAUGUCUGCCCUUGAUUUAAAUCGGGGGAGACCACGCUGGACGAGCUGCCUGAGCGGAGCGGAGCACCCACAUCCAGGACUCACUCACACCCUGAGUUCUGAGAGAUGUGAAACUCCUGAGCUCCUGUGUCUGAGGAAGGAAGAGCAAUGAAGAUUUUAGAAGUCCAGAACUAUGCUGUCUGGUUUUUCCUGGCUCCUGAUCUGGAGAACUUGCAGCCUCCUGUUUCGCUAUCUAGUCAGACAACAAAGCCAGUCUUGAAGGCCAGUUCCUUCCCAAGGGCAAUUCUGGUUGGAUGUUGGAUCUGUACCUUCCCAAGUAUUGUGACUUCCAAAGGUGGGGCUUUGGGGAGGUGAUUGGAUGAUGGAGUGUGACACUCAUCAAUGGAGCAUGGCCUGGAUAUAUAUCUCUUCCCUCCUCCGUUGCCCACUCUCUGCUUCCUGACACCAUGCCAUGAGCUGUUUCUCCUCUGCGGUGCCCCUCUGCCAUGCUGCCUUGCUUUGGAGCCAGCUGACUAUGGACUACAACGUCUACAAACUGUGAGCCAAAAUAAAUCCUUUUUCUUUAGAGCUGUGGGUGUUGGAAAUUGUGUCUCAGCAAUGACAAAGUAACUAAGACUGUCAGAAACUUUCAGCAUGUUAGGUGAAAAGUUCUGUGGAAAUUAUCUAACUUUAUUAUGACCUCUUAUUUAUACAGUUUCUCUAGUUAUACUGGCUAGAAUCUCUCCUAGUUGAACUGAAACAAAAUGUUUGUUUUGUUUUUCAAAGUUACUUGACAAUGGGCUUCUCAAGGUGGGUGUCAAACCUUUGCUACCAUCAAAUCUCUGUGAUUCCAUGAAGCUCCAAGUCCACAGUGAUUGUCUCCAGUGUUGUAAGGACAUCAAGAAUGUCCGUCCCUUCACACAGAUCAAGUCAGAGGUAUGUGAUCAUGUGUGGUUUCAGACCUGCUACAUGUGUGCUUAAGAAGUGGGGGCUUAUUCCAUUCUGAUGCCAGAGGAAACAGGGAUUCCCCUACACUCAAUCUGACAACUACCAUCUGCUUUAAAUUUGAAGGGGAAAAAGAUAAAUGGUUGUGUAAUUUUGACUCAAGAUUUUCUGUUGUCUGGCUGGGGAUUUAGCUUAGUGGUGCCAACGUCUGCCUUGCAAGCACAAGGUCCUGAGUUCGAUACCCGGUACCAAAAAAAAAAAAAAAAAAAAGAUUUUUCUGUUGUUAAAAGUUUCUUCUAAGAAAACAAAUAAGUGUCUUGAAAAAUCCAGAAAAUACUUAAAUAAUUGGUUUUCUUUCAAGAAAAGGUUGUUUUUUCCAUAUCUUUCAUUAUAUGAACCUUUAGCAGAGGGACUUCUCCCUUUAUAUUUUAUUGUGGUAGACAGAUUUUAUCAUCUUCACACUAAAGAGCUUAGAUAAUAUUGAAAAUAGCACAAUAAUUUUAAAGUUAUUGUACUACCGUAUUAUCCACAGGAACAUGCAGUAAGUAUGAACCUGGAACCUCAGGCUUAAAUUGGCAAUGAGAUAAGGCAUUCUCCUUCAAUUUGAAACAAAGAAAUCCAUGUCACAGAUAAGUUUAUAUGUUCGUGUCAUGUUGACCUCAUUGCUGCCAUGUCCUUACAUGAAUAGUUUGUCUAGAUCUCACCAUUGCAUUUACUGUUGUUGGCUUGAAUAUUUUUAUUCCAAAGGUCUGUUUGAAACAGCUUUUAUUUUUUCUUUGACCUGCUGUCAUCACUGCCUAUGCCCACACCAUUCCACUAGGUGGCAUUCUUACCCACGAGAUUGCUGCAGCCCUACACAGAAAAAGUGGCCAAGCCAUGGUCUGGGAUGUGCUUUCCCAAGAGGACGAAAUGCUUCGGGGUUGCUGGUAUCCAUGUCCCUCCACUUCUAAGUCAUGAUGUUUCACACCUGCCUGCUUGUCUAUGUCUUAUAAAUGUUCAUUAAAUAUCUAACGCUACGUAAGGCUCUAGGGUAGGCAAAGAAGCAAGAUAUGCCUGGUCCUCCAGGAGCUCCCAGUCUAAUGGCAGGGGACGGAUGGCAUAAGAGGUACAGGAUAGAGCCAUGGGAAGGGAGAAUUGCUUCUGACUGGAGGCUCUGCAAGUUUAGAGAUCCAUGGCCCUGAUUUGUGGGGCUGUUGCCAUAGGGCAAGGGGCUCCCUUGGCAUGCAGUAUACGGUGAGACGCUUAGCUUCGGAAACCAGAAAAAACUAGGAGCUAUGAAUGCUCCCUCCCAUCCCAGGAAGCGACUGGCUUUCCCUCAGUCUCAGAGGAUCAAAUGUGCCCCCAUGGCUCCAACACCACGGAGUAGAAAUAUUCAUAGCUCUUUGACUUGCUUUUUCAGAUUUGGAAAAUACCAGCGUACAUAGACAAUAACAUCCAUAAAAGUAAUUGUCACCUGUAUUCCUAUCAAAAAGAAUUAGCCAUUGUUAAUUUCUUGAUACGUUGAUUUCCAGAUUUUUCUCUUUAUACUUAAAAAUCUCACAGACAGCAUAUUAAUACGUUGCCCUUUUUCUUAUUUCUUGUAAAUCUGUGUUCUCCUUUUUAUCAAGGACCAAUUGUUGGAUUUAGUUAUGGGUGCCAAAAUGCUCCGAUAUAAAUCCCUCACAGCAUAACAGUGACAGAAUAAUUAUUAUAUUUUUCGACCUUUUCUCUCUAUUUGUUCUUGAAAUGCAAACACAUUUUUCCCUGGAAUUUAAAAGUGUAUUGUAAAAAGUGUAUAAAAUGUAAGAAGAUGAAAAUAAGCAAAUUAUCUGUGGCCCUACUGCUUGGAACAAACCAUAACUGAUGUUCCUUUUAGUUUAUUUUGCUCAAGUUUUUUUCUACAUAUUUUGAAAAUUGUAUUUACCAUUUUAUAGUCUGUCUUUUAACUUAAUUUUCUAGGACUUUGUAUUGUUCUCCUAAUUCAAGGUUGUUAAUAGUGGCCCAGUAUUCCAUUCUAUAGUCAUAGCUAUAUCAUACAGCAUGUAGAAAAGAGAUGUUUAAAAAUGAGAGUGUAAAAGUUACUCAUUCAUACUAUUUAGAGAUCGGUAUUAUUAGCAUUUUAUUAUAACUGCCCAUUCUCCUUUUCUCUAUACUCUAUGUGCUCUUUCAUAAGUUUUUUUAAUGAACUCUCCAUUGUUGACAGAACAAGCUGAGCCUAUUCUUUUUUCCUACUGUCAUUAAC
rnacentral:lncRNA from 1 species